CCUUGUGAGCAGCGGAACCUCACCCCAGAGCGCUUCCAUUAAAGCUCGACUGGAACCCACUGCCUGGCUCCUCUUGUUACUGACCACCGCCGACUUGAACCGGACAUCUGGUGCCAAAACUCAGGGGGAGGUUGAGGCCGCGCUCCGGUGGGAGCCUCCCUCCUCUCCUUACCAGGACCUUAUCUGAGCCCCAGGCCUCGAGACACCGGCCUGGGAAUCCAAACGGUGACGUCUAUUUGAACCCCUGGCCUGCCCGACAGGGAAUCGUGGAAACUGCCCGACCAAAAUCUAACCCUAAAACCCCUUCUGGAAUGACUGCUGGUCGGUCUCUCACAGGAUUCGAGGGCCACCUCAGUCAUUGCCAUUUGGGGCGGGGACAUCAAUUAAACAAUCAGUCUCAACGACUCCUUCGGGGCAUUGCCGGCUAUCAGGUUUUCACAAAUGAAUGAAUCCGUGAGGUGUCUCGGGUAUCCGACAACAAGCUUCUCCUCCACUCCUACCCCUUUCCGACAACCAGCUUCUGCUCAACUCCUACUCCUGUGUGCCCACUUCUGACAACCCCUAUGAUGCCCGUUACUCAGCAGGAAGUAGCCAGAUGUGAGUCGUCGCCCUAUAACAACAAAAAAAGGUGGGAAUAUUGGGCCAGUGGGAUCGGGAGGACCGGAAAGCAGCAUCAAAGUAGCCUGGCAGCCUCCAUCUUUAUAACUCCCACCGCCCCCCCCACUUUACCUUCCCUGGAAGGCAAGAACCGGAAACUGAACCUUGCUCAAUUUCAUACCAUACAUGGGCAAAAAACCACUAACAGCCCUGCCCCUAUAAAUACCUGUUUGUAUCCACCCUGGGUGCGACUUCCCCAGCCUACUCCCUUGCGAGCCAUGUAACCUCACCCGAGAGCGCUUACAUUAAAGCUCACCUCGAACCCA